rnacentral:rRNA from 1 species
GUGAUACCAUGUAGCUGCAUGUCGCAGAUAGCGCAGGGAAUCUCGCCCCAGCAGCGGUAUAUAGAGAGGCAAGAGUAUAUGAAAAUUGGGGUAAAAGAGUGUACAGGCGUAUAAUCAGAGUGAGAUACCCCGGUCUCCCCGGGAUGCAUAUUUAAUGUUACAAAGAGAGGUGAGAGAGAAGUAGAGACCUGGGGUGCGCGGAGAAAUGUAGAGAUAUGGGGGAUAUAGAGGGGAAAGGACAUUCACGGGAUUAUACUGACACGAGGCUUAAAAAGUGGGUAGCAAACACAGGAGAGAUCCCGUAGUGUCCGCCGUAUAAGAGUGUCUAGUGAAGGGGGAACUUUUUUUGUGAUCAAAGAAACAAUAAAGUACCGCCGGGGGUACGGGCGCAAAGGUUAAAUUCAAAAAAUUGACGGGGCCCGCACAAGCGGGGAGCAUGUGGUAAUUUCGAUGCAACGAAAGAACCUUACUGGUCACUUGACAUCAGAGUCCUACCAGAGAUGGGAGGCCCUUCGGGAUUAGAAUACCAGGUGGCAUGGCUGUUCGUCAGCUCGUCGUGAAGAUGUUGGGUAAAGUCCCGCAACGAGGCCAACCCCUAUCUUUAGACCAAGCAGGAAUGCGGGAAACUUUAAGGAGACUGCAGGUGAUAAACCGGAGGAAGGGGGGGAGGAGGCCAGUUCUUCAUGCCCUUUAGACCAAGGGUUCCCCACGGGUUCCAAGGGAGCAUCCGAAGGCAUGUGCACAGGCGAGUGUAAGGAAUUCCAAAAAACUGAUUGUUAUUCAGGAUGGGAUUUUGAAAUUGGAUUCCAGGAAGUGGGAAUCGUUGGUAUUGGGGAUUCAAAAGGACGCGGGGAAUAGGUUCCCGGCCUUGGUCCACCCCCCCGGUCACCCCAUGGGAGUGGGUGCUCCAGAAGUAGAUGGUCGUAACCCUCAGGACGACGUCACCACGGGAUCGGGG